UACGGAGGGUGCAAGCGUUAUCCGGAUUCACUGGGUUUAAAGGGUGCGUAGGCGGGCAUGUAAGUCAGUGGUGAAAUCUCCGGGCUUAACCCGGAAACUGCCGUUGAUACUAUGUGUCUUGAAUAUCGUUGAGGUUUGCGGAAUAUGUCAUGUAGCGGUGAAAUGCUUAGAUAUGACAUAGAACACCAAUUGCGAAGGCAGCUCACUACACGAAUAUUGACACUGAGGCACGAAAGCGUGGGGAUCAAACAGG
rnacentral:rRNA from 1 species